rnacentral:rRNA from 1 species
AUUGAACGCUGGCGGCAUGCCUUACACAUGCAAGUCGAACGGCAGCACGGGAGCAAUCCUGGGUGGCGAGUGGGCGAACGGGUGAGUAAUAUAUCGAAACGUGCCCGGUCGUGGGGGAUAACGUAGCGAAAGCUACGCUAAUACCGCAUACGAUCUAUGGAUGAAAGCGGGGGAUCGCAAGACCUCGCGCGAUUGGAGCGGCCGAUAUCAGAUUAGGUAGUUGGUGAGGUAAAGGCUCACCAAGCCGACGAUCUGUAGCUGGUCUGAGAGGACGACCAGCCACACUGGGACUGAGACACGGCCCAGACUCCUACGGGAGGCAGCAGUGGGGAAUUUUGGACAAUGGGCGCAAGCCUGAUCCAGCAAUGCCGCGUGCAGGAUGAAGGCCUUCGGGUUGUAAACUGCUUUUGUACGGAACGAAACGGUGAGCUCUAAUACAGUUUGCUAAUGACGGUACCGUAAGAAUAAGCACCGGCUAACUACGUG